rnacentral:rRNA from 1 species
UACAAAGGGGGCUAGCGUUGCUCGGAAUCACUGGGCGUAAAGGGUGCGUAGGCGGGUCUUUAAGUCAGGGGUGAAAUCCUGGAGCUCAACUCCAGAACUGCCUUUGAUACUGAAGAUCUUGAGUUCGGGAGAGGUGAGUGGAACUGCGAGUGUAGAGGUGAAAUUCGUAGAUAUUCGCAAGAACACCAGUGGCGAAGGCGGCUCACUGGCCCGAUACUGACGCUGAGGCACGAAAGCGUGGGGAGCAAACAGG